rnacentral:lncRNA from 1 species
AGGAAUACAGGGAGUUUUUCAUUAGAAAUUAACAAUUUACGCUCCACAGCUGAAUCAUUGCAUUUAGAGCAAACAGAUCUAUUCUUUAGAAGUAGUUGCAUUAAUUAGGAAAGUCAUGUUUUUUCCUUCAUACUUAAUGGUCAUAUGAGAAGUUGCAACUAUACUUAUUAAAGGAAUACAAAAACAAACCAGCCCAUUCCCAGAAAUAUACCGCGCUCCUCCAGAGGAUGGACGCCUUGCGCCAUCCACCUCAGUAGGGCCUUGCCAUUGCCUGAGUCAGGGGAGGGGCACAGCAACUUAGCAUAAUCUUUUCUAAUGCCAUCCAUUUCCCUGCAAAUGCCAAGAUCUUAUUCUUUUUAGUGCUGAGUAAUAUUCCAUUGUGUAUAAAUGCCACAUUUUUUUUAUCCAUUCCUCCACUGAAGGACAUCUAGGUUGGCUCCACAGUUUAGCUAUUAUGAAUUGUGCUGCUAUAAACAUUGAUGUGGCUGUGUCCCUGUAGUAUGCUGUUUUUAGGUCCUUUGGGUAUAAUCCGAGAAGAGGAAUAGCUGGGUCAAAUGAUAUGGUUCCAUUCCCAGAUUUCCAAGGAAUCUCCAUACUGCUUUCCAAAUUGGCUGCACCAAUUUGCAGUCUCACCAGCAAUAUAUGAGUGUACCUUUGAGCUACAUCCCCAGGCUUGUAAAAAUUUUUUUAAAUUUUGAGACAGGGACUCCCUUUGUUACCCAGGCUGAUCUCCAACUUGUGAUCCUCCUGUCUCAGCCUCCUGUGAAGCCGGAAUUACAAGAGGGUGCCACCAGACCCGCUUGAACUAAUUGUUGUAGUAAAGAAAUUAUGAUGUGAAAACCAGAUUAUGCUGAACAUAAAGCUUUGCAUUGUGGAGUAUAAAGUGGACCUAUUCCUUCAAGGAAGCUUGGUUUGCCUGUAGAACCAGGCAGAGUGUAGUGGUUUGCCUUGGGCAGAGAGGAUAUUUCUGUUCUGAUAAGCCAGUGUCUGGUACGGGUUUCUUUACUCUGAGCCUUCAUGCAGGCCAAGAAGUGUGUUGUGGCCUG